rnacentral:rRNA from 1 species
CACAUCCAAGGAAGGCAGCAGGCACGCAAAUUACCAAUCCCAGCUCUGGGAGGUAGUGACGAAAAAUAACAAUGCGGGACUCUUCCGAGUCUGCGUAAUUGGAAUGAGCACACUUUAAAUCCUUUAGCAACAACCAAUUGGAGGGCAAGUCUGGUGCCAGCAGCCGCGGUAAUUCCAGCUCCAAUAGCGUAUAUUAAAGUUGUUGCGGUUAAAAAGCUCGUAGUUCGAGUUCAGUUCCGGACUGGCUGGGGAGGUCACCGCCCGGUGCUUCCCCGUCAGGCUCCGAACAGCUUUUAUGACUAAAAGCCAAGCCGGUUUCGCCGGGGUGCUCUUCACCGAGUGUCCCGCGCGGCCGGCCAGUUUACCUUGAAUAAAUGAGAGUGCUCAAAGCAGGCUACUCUUAAAAAUAAAGCCCGAAUGUUACCUGCAUGGAAUGAUGGAAGAUGAACUCGGUUCCAUUUUAUUGGCUCUGGGAAUCCGAGUUAAUGAUAAACAGGGACUGUCGGGGGCAUCCGUACUACGACGCGAGAGGUGAAAUUCAGUGACCGUCGUAGGACGAACAACAGCGAAAGCAUUUGCCAAGAAUGUCUUCGUUGAUCAAGAACGAAAGUUAGAGGAUCGAAGGCGAUCAGAUACCGCCCUAGUUCUAACCCUAAACGAUGCUGACUAGCAAUCCGCCGUCGUUAUUCCCAUGACGUGGCGGGACGCCCCCGGGAAACCUCAAGUCUUUGAGUUCCGGGGGUAGUAUGGUUGCAAAACUGAAACUUAAAGGAAUUGACGGAAGGGCACCACCAGGAGUGGAGCCUGCGGCUUAAUUUGACUCAACACGGGAAACCUCACCAGGCCCGGACACCAGAAGGAUUGACAGAUUAAGAGCUCUUUCUCGAUUUGGUGGGUGGUGGUGCAUGGCCG